GACGAACGCUGGCGGCGUGCUUAACGCAUGCAAGUCGAACGGAAAGGCCCUGCUUUUGUGGGGUGCUCGAGUGGCGAACGGGUGAGUAACACGUGAGUAACCUGCCCUUGACUUUGGGAUAACUUCAGGAAACUGGGGCUAAUACCGGAUAGGAGCUCCUGCUGCAUGGUGGGGGUUGGAAAGUUUCGGCGGUUGGGGAUGGACUCGCGGCUUAUCAGCUUGUUGGUGGGGUAGUGGCUUACCAAGGCUUUGACGGGUAGCCGGCCUGAGAGGGUGACCGGCCACAUUGGGACUGAGAUACGGCCCAGACUCCUACGGGAGGCAGCAGUGGGGAAUAUUGCACGAUGGGCGGAAGCCUGAUGCAGCAACGCCGCGUGCGGGAUGACGGCCUUCGGGUUGUAAACCGCUUUCGCCUGUGACGAAGCGUGAGUGACGGUAAUGGGUAAAGAAGCACCGGCUAACUACGUG
rnacentral:rRNA from 1 species